GGCAUGUUAACUUAAUGGUAAAGUCUUGUGCUACGGACACAAUUAUGCGAGUUCAAAUCUUGUACAUGUUU